ensembl:lncRNA
CAUAGCCCUAAAAUUAAGCAAAAUGAAUGGUAUGUUUAUUUUAAUUGGUUCCUAGAGGCUUCUAAAUGUGUACAAAACUUUAAAACUGCCUCCCUGCAGGAGACCGUGUCUAAAUUAACCAAGACAACCAAAAAACUGAGAGAGCAAAAUAGCUUCUGAAGUGUCAUGUUGCCCUCCCCCUUCUUCUUUGUCUCAGGCACCAUCUUGUUUGUCUUCCCAGACUCCUUUGUCUCAGGCUCCCCUCUGAGGAUACAAACAGACCUCAGGUCUCUUAUGUUCAAUGGACUACUGCUGAAUUGAAAGCCAUCGACACAGCAGGCCCAUCCCAUGCUAGGGCCUUUGCACAGGCUGCUACUGCACCUGGAACGUCCUUCCUCUUUCUUGUGCACCCAGCAAACCCAAGCCCACUGUCACCUGUCCAUGAGAGGAGCCCCUUGGACUCCCUAAGCUACGAGUACUCCUUCCUGGACACCCCCAGCAGUUUCGGUCACUUUGCUUGCACUGGGGAAGUAUCUAAUGUACGUGAGGAUUCGUGUUUAGCUGUUGCUGCACUUCUCUGAAUCCGAGGGCAUGUACCAGAGGCUUCUGUGAAGGCAGAAUGGAGGGAAUCCUGUAGGCAAGGAGGAGCCGCGCCCCUCAUCGUCCCCUGUGCAGGGAUGGUGCAGGGUCUCUGAGACAGGGGCUCUCAUGAUCAUGCAUCUGCGUUUACACUUGCCAUUGUCACCCCUGUGGCCCCCACCCUUGGGGUACACAAGAAAUCCUGUACAGGUUGUACACAGAUGUACUUUACGGGCAGUUUUUGGCAUUAGAUGCUGUGGUAGACCGAACAAUGAUUUCUCCCAAACGUGAGCAUUCUAAUCCAUAGAACCCGUGAAGAUAUAAUGUUCAUGGCAAAGGGGAAUUAAGGUUGCUAAUCAGCUGACCUUGAGAUGGGAAGAAUCUCCUGGAUAUCUGCGUGGGCCCAGUGUAAUCACAGCAUCCUUAAGAGUGGGUGAGGGAGUCUGCAGAGGAGAUGUGAUAAUGGGGGCAAGGCCCCACAUCGUAAUUGUUGGCUUCCAGGAUGGAGGAAGGGGACAAAGCCAAGAAAUGCCAGCAGCCUCUAGUGACUGAAAAAGGCAAGGACAUGGAUUCUUCGCCAGAGCCUGGAAAGGAGGGCAGUCCUG